rnacentral:tRNA from 1 species
GCUGGGAUGCCCGAGUGGUCUAAGGGGCCAGACUCAAGCACUGACUGCGUGGGUUCGAACCCCACUCUCAGCA